rnacentral:rRNA from 1 species
GACGAACGCUGGCGGCGUGCUUAACACAUGCAAGUCGAACGGAAAGGCCCUGCUUUUGUGGUGUUCUCGAGUGGCGAACGGGUGAGUAACACGUGAGUAACCUGCCCUUUUCUUUGGUAUAUCUUCAGGAAACUGGAUCUAAUACCGUAUAGGAUCUCCUGCUGCUUUGUGUUGGUUGGAACGUUUCGGCGGUUGGUGUUGGACUCGCGGGUUAUCAGCUUGUUGGUGGGGUAGUGGCUUACCAAGGCUUUGACGGGUAGCCGGCCUGAGAGGGUGACCGGCCACAUUGGGACUGAGAUACGGCCCAGACUCCUACGGGAGGCAGCAGUGGGGAAUAUUGCACAAUGGGCGGAAGCCUGAUGCAGCAACGCCGCGUGCGGGAUGACGGCCUUCGGGUUGUAAACCGCUUUCGCCUGUGACGAAGCGUGAGUGACGGUAAUGGGUAAAGAAGCACCGGCUAACUACGUG